UGGGGAAUAUUGCACAAUGGGCGAAAGCCUGAUGCAGCAACGCCGCGUGAGUGAUGAAGGCCUUCGGGUUGUAAAGCUCUGUCUUCUGGGACGAUAAUGACGGUACCAGAGGAGGAAGCCACGGCUAACUACGUGCCAGCAGCCGCGGUAAUACGUAGGUGGCAAGCGUUGUCCGGAUUUACUGGGCGCAAAGGAUGCGUAGGCGGAUACUUAAGUCAGAUGUGAAAAUCCCGGGCUUAACCUGGGAACUGCAUUUGAAACUGGGUAUCUAGAGUGCGGGAGAGGAAAGUAGAAUUCCUAGUGUAGCGGUGAAAUGCGUAGAGAUUAGGAAGAACACCAGUGGCGAAGGCGACUUUCUGGACCGUAACUGACGCUGAGGCAUGAAAGCGUGGGGAGCAAACA
rnacentral:rRNA from 1 species